CAGGAUGAACGCUGGCGGCGUAGCUUAACACGAUGCAAGUCGAACGGAGUUUUAACGGAAGUUUCGGAUGGAAGUUUAAGAACUUAGUGGCGGACGGGUGAGUAACGCGUGGGUAACCUGCCUCAUACAGGGGGAUAACAGUUAGAAAUGACUGCUAACACCGCAUAAUAUAGCGAAACCGCAUGAUUUUGCUAUCAAAUAUUUAUAGGUAUGAGAUGGGCCCGCGUCUGAUUAGCUAGUUGGUGGGGUAAAAGCCUACCAAGGCGACGAUCAGUAGCCGGCUUGAGAGAGUGACCGGCCACAUUGGGACUGAGACACGGCCCAAACUCCUACGGGAGGCAGCAGUGGGGAAUAUUGGACAAUGGGGGAAACCCUGAUCCAGCGACGCCCGCGUGAGUGAAGAAGUAUUUCGGUAUGUAAAGCUCUAUCAGCAGGGAAGAUAAUGACAGUACCUGACUAAGAAGCCCCGGCUAACUACGUGCCAGCAGCAGC
rnacentral:rRNA from 1 species